rnacentral:rRNA from 1 species
UACGUAGGGGGCUAGCGUUGUCCGGAAUCAUUAGGCGUAAAGCGCGUGUAGGCGGCCCGGUAAGUCCGCUGUGAAAGUCGGGGGCUCAACCCUCGAAUGCCGGUGGAUACUGUCGGGCUCGAGUGCGGAAGAGGUGAGUGGAACUCCGAGUGUAGAGGUGAAAUUCGUAGAUAUUCGGAAGAACACCAGUGGCGAAGGCGGCUCACUGGUCCGGUACUGACGCUGAGGUGCGAAAGCGUGGGGAGCAAACAGG